UACAGAGGUCUCAAGCGUUGUUCGGAUUCAUUGGGCGUAAAGGGUGCGUAGGCGGCGCGGUAAGUCGGGUGUGAAAUCUUGGAGCUUAACUCCGAAACUGCAUUCGAUACUGCGGUGCUUGAGGACUGGAGAGGAGACUGGAAUUCAUGGUGUAGCAGUGAAAUGCGUAGAGAUCAUGAGGAAGACCAGUGGCGAAGGCGGGUCUCUGGACAGUUCCUGACACUGAGACACGAAGGCCCAGGGGAGCAAACGGG
rnacentral:rRNA from 1 species